CCUACGGGAGGCAGCAGUGGGGAAUAUUGGACAAUGGGCGCAAGCCUGAUCCAGCCAUGCCGCGUGUGUGAAGAAGGCCUUCGGGUUGUAAAGCACUUUUAUCCGGAAAGAAAAGCUUUGGGUUAAUACCCUGAAGUCAUGACGGUACCGGAAGAAUAAGCACCGGCUAACUUCGUGCCAGCAGCCGCGGUAAUACGAAGGGUGCAAGCGUUACUCGGAAUUACUGGGCGUAAAGCGUGCGUAGGUGGUUUGUUAAGUCUGAUGUGAAAGCCCUAGGCUCAACCUGGGAAUUGCAUUGGAUACUGGCAGGCUAGAGUGCGGUAGAGGAUAGUGGAAUUCCCGGUGUAGCAGUGAAAUGCGUAGAGAUCGGGAGGAACAUCUGUGGCGAAGGCGACUAUCUGGGCCAGCACUGACACUGAGGCACGAAAGCGUGGGGAGCAAACAGGAUUAGAUACCCUGGUAGUCCACGCCCUAAACGAUGCGAACUGGAUGUUGGGUGCAACUAGGCACUCAGUAUCGAAGCUAACGCGUUAAGUUCGCCGCCUGGGGAUACGGUCGCAAGCUGAAACCUNAAUGAUGNGNGNGAGAGNGCGAGGCGCGACGAGGGAGAG
rnacentral:rRNA from 1 species